CUACGUUGAAACACCGGAUCUCGUACGAUCCCUGAAGUUAAACAACGUCGAGCCUGGCCAGUACCCCGAUGGGUUGCCGCUUGGAAAUGCUAGAUGGUGUAAG